UGCAGGUCUUUCUGUUCACUGCAGGGGAGUUGAACUAGUUGAACUUUCAGGGUCCCUUCCAACUCAAAAGAUUCUAUGCUUCUGUAAGGGGACUGUUAUGUCACAGCCUGAACUGAUGAUUGAGCACCUGGUGAAGCAGGUGGCUGGCCCAGGGAGCCCAGGUGCAUGCUUCCCAUCCAACUGGAAUGAGUGAACUCUGGAUCCACCCCUCCCUGGGCUCAUUUAAGGGAUAGCCUUUGGGAGAAGAAUGUCUUCUGGAUGAAGGCUGCUUCCUGAAAAGGAGUGUUUUGUAGUCUGAGACCCUAUCAUCAGUUGGGUUCUGCAGGAAACGUUGAGAUCAUGUAACCUUAUUCAUGCCUCAGCAUUAUACCAAUCAACUUUUCCCAGUGCCGCAAAAAUGUCAAGACUAAAACCAGCACCAGUGAAAGCAGAAGUGCAACUCUGAAUUAAGGAAAUUACAUUCUGCUUGCUCUUACCUAUACUGUUAAAAGGGCAAGAAGUUGCUAUCAAAAGGACUUAACUGUUCUGGUUAUUGUACCUGCAUGUAAGCAAAGACGAGAUACAAAAUAUCAUUACAGGUUCAGUAUUGAGAUGAAGUCAAUGUAAUGAGCAGAAACUGGGAUGUUUCCUACCGUAUCUUGGCAAACAGAAAAGGCACUCCUUUAGGCUUUUUCUCUGUGUUCGUUUUUGUCACCAUCAGCAUAUCAUUUAUGGCCACCAUUCAGCAGUAUGCUCCCAGAGUUAAUUUAUAUGAAUUUCAUUUAUGUUUGUCAUGACUCUUAUUUAAGGACACUCCUAAGAACAUUUUAAUAAAUUCUAUACAGGAUGUUUCUCAUCUUCUUAUAUGGAGAGUUUACUAGUUAAUGCCAGACUAAAUCUGAUCUACCAGAUGAAGACUUUGAUGCUUAGAGUGCCAGCUUCUCAAACUGUUCUGAAGCGGAAGAGAUCUUGAGGUUGUGGUAUAUAUUGAUUUGACUAUUGCUUUGUAAAUACUUCCUUAAUUAAUGUAAAGAGAGCUGUAUGCCCAUUUUGCAGUGUAACUACUCAUGGGAAAACUUUGUGCUAGUCAUCCAAUAGAACAUAUAAAUCAGUAUUAUUAAGUAGUCUAAGAUGUGGCUUGAUUUUGAAUGAGCUCUCAAGGUUUUAUUUUCAAAUGGAAUGCUUCAAGACUGAAUGGAUUUGUAUUUUAAUUUUUUGUAUAAUCAUUUAUCUGUGAAAAAUUGUUGUUUUUACAUAUUUGUAUUAUGCAGCAGAUGGUAUAUAUACACUGAAAGUUUUCACUGAUAAAAGCGUAGUUUUGAACAGGAUAUAUGCUGUGUGCUAGACAUCAUUGUUGCUGCAAUGUAUAUUUCAAGUUGACUUAUGUCUGCAUUCCUUUCUCUGUUCUUCCUUUACUUCCAUUUAUAAAGAAUCUUUAUGCAGGAAAAUAAUGGCAAUUAAGAUGGUUUAUACAAGAUUACGCCC